ensembl:lncRNA
CAGCAUGGUGCUGAUCUGCAGCCCUGCGGCUGCUGGUUGCCUUUGGAGGGCUGCAUUGAAGGAGAGCAUGGAAGGAGAGCAUUUAGCUUCAGCUAAAUGAAGGAGGGCAUGAUCACGGAAUCAUAGAAAAGCUCACAGCAUCUCCUGGAGGAGCCUGACCUGGUGACGAAGCCCUACAACACACUGUCGCUGGUCUGCAGCAGUUUUGAUCCCACCGUCAUACAGUGUUGCAUGGACGUGACCAAGGGCAGCUCUGUGGGAGGAAGCCAGGAGGAGAAACCUAAAGGAUCCCGUGCUCCUUGCACAGCAGUGCUGGCUGCUUUGUUCACCACCAGAAAGAAGGGAAACAGGUCAGUUCAACACCCCCAAACCUGGCAUUAGCAGUCAGUGCCCCACGUGGAGCCAUCAGGAUCAUCUCCAAAUGACGUGGCACGUCAGUCCUGCUGGAGCUAUGGCCAGGGCUGACGUUUUCCAUUACCAGAAGGGAGGGUGGGGAAAAGUAUUUUUAACAUGUAUUUAUAGACCUCACCGUGAUGCAGUUUUUCCCAAACUUCGGGUGAAGAACAAUGGACAAAGAGCUUUGUGUUAGGGCUGCUGGUUAGGAACAACAGGAGCACGGCUCCUGUGGGGAAGGAAAAGUACUGGAAGGCCACCAUGAGGUGUCCCCGCAGCCUUCUCUUCUCCAAGCUCCACCUCCCACUGCUGCUGGGAGGUUUGCUGGACUUCAUCCCCUGUGCUCUUGCCAAAAGAAGAAACAAUAAAUCCUCCUGCA